CAGGGUCGAAAGACGGACUUAGUGAUCCGGUGGUUCCGCAUGGAAGGGCCAUCGCUCAACGGAUAAAAGCUACCCCGGGGAUAACAGGCUUAUCUCCCCCAAGAGUUCACAUCGACGGGGAGGUUUGGCACCUCGAUGUCGGCUCAUCGCAUCCUGGGGCUGUAGUCGGUCCCAAGGGUUGGGCUGUUCGCCCAUUAAAGCGGUACGCGAGCUGGGUUCAGAACGUCGUGAGACAGUUCGGUCCCUAUCCGUCGUGGGCGUAGGAAAUUUGAGAGGAGCUGUCCUUAGUACGAGAGGACCGGGAUGGACAUACCUCUGGUGUACCAGUUGUCGUGCCAACGGCAUAGCUGGGUAGCUAUGUGUGGACGGGAUAAGUGCUGAAAGCAUCUAAGCAUGAAGCCCCCCUCAAGAUGAGAUUUCCCAACUUCGGUUAUAAGAUCCCUCAAAGAUGAUGAGGUUAAUAGGUUCGAGGUGGAAGCAUGGUGACAUGUGGAGCUGACGAAUACUAA
rnacentral:rRNA from 1 species